rnacentral:rRNA from 1 species
GCAACGAGCGCAACCCUUGUCAUUAGUUGCUACAUUCAGUUGGGCACUCUAAUGAGACUGCCGGUGACAAGCCGGAGGAAGUGGGGAUGACGUCAAGUCCUCAUGGCCCUUAUAGGUGGGGCUACACACGUCAUACAAUGGCUGGUACAAAGGGUUGCCAACCCGCGAGGGGGAGCCAAUCCCAUAAAGCCAGUCGUAGUCCGGAUCGUAGUCUGCAACUCGACUACGUGAAGUCGGAAUCGCUAGUAAUCGUGGAUCAGAAUGUCACGGUGAAUACGUUCCCGGGUCUU